rnacentral:rRNA from 1 species
GGGGGGGGGGGGGGGGGGGGCGGGGGGGGGCGGGGCGGGCGAAGAGACGGGGGGCGUGCUCCUCUGACGGUAGCGGCCGCCGGGUGAGGAACCCGGGGACAGCCCACCUAUAAGCCUGGGAUCACUUCGUUCCCCCGGCGCUAAUCCCGGAUCAGAUAUUGCACCGCAGCGUUCAAUAGUUAAAUCCUGUUUUGCUGCCACCUAUCGAUGGCUUCGCGCCGCAUUAGCUUGUUGGUACGGUCACGGCUUACCAAGGCAACGAUGCGUAGCCGACCUGAGCGGGUGAUCGGCCACACUGUAACUGAGACACGGGCCAGACUCCUACGGGAGGCAGCAGUAGGGAAUCUUACGCAAUGGGCGAAAGCCUGACGGAGCAACGCCGCGUGAGUGAUGAAGGUCUUCGGAUCGUAAAACUCUGUUAUUAGGGAAGAACAAAUGUGUAAGUAACUAUGCACGUCUUGACGUUACCUAAUCAGAAAGCCACGGCUAACUACGUG